rnacentral:rRNA from 1 species
AUUGAACGCUGGCGGCAUGCUUUACACAUGCAAGUCGAACGGUAACAGGCCUUCGGGUGCUGACGAGUGGCGCACGGGUGAGUAAUGCAUCGGAACGUGCCCAGAGGUGGGGGAUAACGCAGCGAAAGCUGUGCUAAUACCGCAUGUGAUCUGAGGAUGAAAGCGGGGGACCCGGCAGCAAUGUUUGGCCUCGCGCCUUUGGAGCGGCCGAUGUCAGAUUAGGUAGUUGGUGGGGUAAAGGCCUACCAAGCCGACGAUCUGUAGCUGGUCUGAGAGGACGACCAGCCACACUGGGACUGAGACACGGCCCAGACUCCUACGGGAGGCAGCAGUGGGGAAUUUUGGACAAUGGGCGCAAGCCUGAUCCAGCAAUGCCGCGUGCGGGAAGAAGGCCUUCGGGUGGUAAACCGCUUUUGUACGGAACGAAAAGGCUCUGGCUAAUACCUGGGGCUGAUGACGGUACCGUAAGAAUAAGCACCGGCUAACUACGUG